rnacentral:lncRNA from 1 species
AGACUUCUUGCUCCUGCAACAAGUGUAUGUGUGUAGAGCAGAUCACAGGGGAAGGUAGAAACAAAUGCCCAAUAUAAAUAGGCAUUCAGCAGAAGAGGACACCGAUGCAGAGAAAAGAGAACUUCCCUUCAUGAUGCUAUGCAAUCCCCAGGAGAAGCACGUUGAAAGCUGAGAAUCCUUCUUGGCACUGGGAAUACAGAGGUGAUGGGCAGGAAAAUUCCCUGAUUUUAUAGAGCUUAAAUUCUUGUAGGAGAGACAGACAAUAACAAAAGAAGACUGACUGAGAUGUGUUGGCGGGCUUCUCAAGAUCCCUAUCGAUGGCAGAAUGCUGACAUGAGUUGCCCAUAGUCCAGGUUUCCCAAUGUAGCAGAUGACUCUAGCGGCUCCAGCUUCAGCAUCAUCUUAAGUUCAAGUGAAAAGGAAAAGAGAAUCUCUUUUUCUUCAAACAAUUUCAAACUAAAAUCUUGAGUCUGACUUUUCCUGGCCAGAAUUAAGCUUGUACUUAUCCCUGAAAAAUCAUCAAUGCUACAGUGAUGAAUUUACCAAUUGAGGCAGAAUUUAGGUCACAUGACGCUCCAAAGCCUCUUCAAAACCGCAUGACUCAGAGUGAGGCAGAAGUAUUUGGGAUAUUUGCAACAGGAGAAGGGUAAAUGAAUGGAGAGUGCCAAAACAACUUAUGUCAAUUAUACAAUUAUAAAUACAACCAAAAUAAAGUAUGGAAAUCAGUAUUUUCACCUAUCUUAACAGAGUGAAAGAUUUAUUCUGUUGAAUAUUUGCCAUAUUUCACUUUCCACAUUCAGCACUCUGCAAUAUUUAAAGAAGAAAAUAAGUCUCCAUAUACUGAAUAAAGACAUAUCAAAAUUUGUGUGACAUCAUAUUCCUUAGUUACAUUUUUUGUUCAUUCAUUUGUGUGUUUGUUUAUGUCACCCACACUAGAUCAUGGUGGUGUGAACAUGGUUCACUACAGCCUCAACAUCCUGGGCCCAAGCAAUCCUCCCACCUCAGCCUCCUGUGUAGCUAAGACCACAGGUGGGCACCACCAUGCCCAGCUACCUUUUAAUUUUUUGUAGAUAUGGGGGUCUCACUUUGUUGCCCAGGCUGGUCUCGAACUCCUGGGCUCAAGCUAUCCCCACAACACUUUGGUUUGGCCUCCCAAAGUGUCGGGAUUACAGGUGCGAGCCAGUGCACUCAGCCUUACAUUUUUUAAUAAAUGAAUUUAAACAAAGAAUAGAAACAUAUUUUUAAACACACCAAUUAACAAACCAAAGUGUAUUGCAAAUUAUUGGAAGGGACAGCAGAGUGAAAAAAUGUUAUCCCACCUGCAGGAGGUGGAAAAGGUGAUAAUAUGAAACAAAUAUUUCCACCUAUCCUAAUAGAGUAAAAGAUUUAUUCUGCUGGAUAUUUUCUGUAUUUUACCUACCUUCCACAUUCAGCACUCUGCACUCUCUUGCCCAACUAUUCCUUUUAAUUUUCCCAUAAUACAACUUUUUAAUAUUUUAUGUAAUAUAUGUAUUUAUUUCUUUCUUUUACUAACUGUGUUUCCUACUGGAAUGUAAGCUUCAAAAAUUCAGAGAUCUUUGUCCUUGUUGCUGAUAUAGCCUACUGUCUAAAAAAAACUUCAGAUAUUUAAUUUUUUUAACUUUUAAGUUCAGGGGUACAAGUGCAAGUUUGUUACAUAGAUAAACAUGUGUCAUGGGGGUUUCUUGUGCAUAUCAUUUAAUCACUCAGGUAUUAAGCUUAGUACCCAUUAGUUAUUUUUUUCUGAUCUUCUCUCUCCUCCUAUCCUUCACUCUUCAAUAGGCCCCAGUGUGUGUUAUUCUCCUCUAUGGGUCCAUAUGUUCUCAUCAUUUAGCUCCCACUUAUAAGUGAGAGCAUGCAGUGUUUGGUUUUCUGUUUCUGUCAGUUUGCUAGGGAUAAUGGCCUCCAGCUCCAACCAUGUUCCUGCAAAGGACAUGAUCUCAUUUUUUUUAUGGCUGCAUGGUAGUCCAUGGUGUAUAUAUACCACAUUUUCUUUAUCCAGUCUAUCAUUGAUGGGCAUUUAUAUUGAUUUCAUGUCUUUGAGAUUGUAAAUAGUGCUGCAGUGAACAUAUGUGUGUAUGUGUCUUUAUAAUAUAAUGAUUUAUGUUCCUUUGGGUAUAUACCCAGCAAUGGGAUUGCUGGGUCAAAUGGUUUUUCUGUCUUUAGGUCUUUGAGGAAUUGCCACACUGUCUUCCACCAUCUUUAUUUCUGCCUUCGUUUCGUUAUGUACCAGUAGUCAUUCAGGAGCAGGUUAUUCAGUUUCCAUGUAGUUGAUCAGUUUUGAGUGAGUUUCUUAAUCCUGAGUUCUAGUUUGAUUGCACUGUGGU